rnacentral:rRNA from 1 species
UACGUAGGUCCCGAGCGUUGUCCGGAUUUAUUGGGUUUAAAGGGAGCGUAGGCGGGUUGUUAAGUCAGUUGUGAAAGUUUGCGGCUCAACCGUAAAAUUGCAGUUGAUACUGGCAUCCUUGAGUACAGUAGAGGUAGGCGGAAUUCGUGGUGUAGCGGUGAAAUGCUUAGAUAUCACGAAGAACUCCGAUUGCGAAGGCAGCCUGCUGGACUGUGACUGACGCUGAUGCUCGAAAGUGUGGGUAUCGAACAGG